rnacentral:rRNA from 1 species
GAUGAACGCUGGCGGCGUGCCUAAUACAUGCAAGUCGAGCGGUAAGGCCCUUCGGGGUACACGAGCGGCGGACGGCUGAGUAACACGUAGGAACGUACCCCAAACUGAGGGAUAAGCACCAGAAAUGGUGUCUAAUACCGCAUGUGAUCUUCGGAUUAAAGCUCCGGCGGUUUGGGAACGGCCUGCGCAUGAUUAGCUUGUUGGUGAGGUAAUAGCUCACCAAGGCGACGAUCAUUAGCUGGUCUGAGAGGAUGACCAGCCAGACUGGAACUGAGAACGGUCCAGACUCCUACGGGAGGCAGCAGUAGGGAAUUUUCCACAAUGGGCGAAAAGCCUGAUGGAGCAACGCCGCGUGCAGGAUGAAUGUCUUCGGAUUGUAAACUGCUUUUAUAUGUGACGAUAAUGACGGUAGCAUAUGAAUAAGGAUCGGCUAACUCCGUGCCAGCAGCCGCGGUAAGCUCGUCUCUA